rnacentral:rRNA from 1 species
CCAAUUCGGCACAUCUCUAUUUCUCACUAAUCUUGUCUGAUCUCAGAAGCUAAACAGGGUCCAGCCUGGUCAGUAAUCAGGUGGGAGACCACCAGGGAAUACCAGGUCCUGAAGAGGA